GCACUGUGGUUUCUGUAUGAAAAUAGUGGCCGGCGGGGCCUGGACCUACACCACCACCUCUGCAGCCACAGUGAAGUCUGUC
rnacentral:miRNA from 1 species